GUAAGUUGUAAAAGUUAUGUUGAGAGUGGGAUUUGAACCCACGCCCUUUCGGACCAGAACCUUAAUCUGGCGCCUUAGACCAACUCGGCCAUCUCAACUUGUUUGCAAAGCAUCUUGCUUUUUAUUUGCGCGAGUUACGAUGUUCGCUUUUCUUUUUGGGUGAGGGGAAUGUUAAAUGCAGUAGUGCGGCUAAGCCUUUGGAAUUCUCCCAUAAAUUUCCACCAUCAUAAGGAAAGAUUCAGCGCCAGAUUCAAAUAAUGUGCCUAGAAUUCACAAAUUCAUACUCCAUUUUUCAAACUAGAAAUUAAACUCUUUGGUACAGUUACGUCGUUGGUGCAGGCCCCAAUAUAAUAAAUGUGAAGCCGUCCCCAAGUCUCUUCUAACAAGAUCUAAUCCCUGUCCCCAAGGCCAUGCCCUUGCUCCCGUGCAAUUGCAAAUAGCACUGUCAGGUGAUGGUCUCUCCCAAGUCCUACCUUACCAGAAUCAAAGGAUGAUAUGAGCCAUAAUGCUGUUUUAUUAGUUAUGCACAUCAGUUUCUCUUGCCAUCCAAAAACAGCUGUGUCCAUGUCCAUGUAUAUAUGGGGGUGAAAGGGAGGGAGAGAAAAAGAAGAGUACUCAAGAGUAGAUGCCUGCUUUUCCCUAUAGUAGGUGGCACCAAAGCCUCAGCCUAGAGGCCAACAGCUGGUAGCGACUAAAUAUUCUCUGCAAUCUUGGACAGGAAGAAUAUCAUUCGAAUUCCUAUUUAUUUAUUGUUUUAGGGGUGACAGGUGAGAGGUGUUGGGUGUUGUUGCCUACUAAGACUAUAAAAUCGCAGGUAAAACCAGAGAAUUAGUCAAAGCGUGACAGACGGAGCAGCGAAACAGUUAAAAAUUCAGAAUGGAUGUGAUGAGCAACGUGCCUGCUUGAACAAAGGCGCGUGGGGUCUGGACCUGGGAUUAAUAUUUCAUGAGCUUAAUUUUCUCUUUUGGAAACUUUGAAGCUAUAGUACGUAGUAUUAAGUUUCUUAUUGCAUUUUCUUUUUCCA